GUUAAGGUAGUUAAGGUUAGCACGCCAAUCGCGUGAGCGACGGCAGUUGUUCCAUUCAUUCGCAUUUUGGGAAUACGACGCGCAUCACGUGGCGGCCGAUGUUAAUACAUACAUACGCGACAAGCGCGGCCUGCACCGCACGCGUGACACAUAACAUGAGUGGGAGUGACGGCAAUCGAUUCUGUGUGACUGACGUUACAUCGCCAUGGUGACACGCGAAAACAAAUAUGUGCGAUCGCACAGACACGCUGACCCACAGUAAGCCGCACGAGUUCAGUGUGUCACGUAUACAACGGAAAACCGAGAGCUCCAUCCUUCGACCUGCACGAAGAAAGUGACGAAAGCUCUCGCUAACGACGAAUUCGCAGGUACUCGAGGUCGCUCGUUAAGCGGUAAUCUGGCACGCCUCCAGAUUAAAUUUGCCAUCCCCUCCCCACCCCCCAAAAAAAAACUCUCAAUUAAAACUUUGUAAUUAUUCAUAGAAAUUUUUUCGCCAGAGUAAACUACUUAGAAUAUUGUAGUUUGUAUACCAAGAAAUUUUGUAGAAAUCAUACAACAAAAGUACAAUUUACAAAAAUUUAGUAAAGUGUUCCAAUACUAGCAUUUUCAUGAAUAGUAUAGUCGCAACUACGGUUGCUAGAGAAUCCGAGAUUUCAUUCAACGAGAUAAAAGUAAAAAUUAUGUAAGAUAAAUGAUCAAUAAAGCAUGUCGUAAAAUAAUUAUGUAAUUAUAACGAGACAAAUUUAUUGAUUCCAUCUUGUAAUUGAAUCUCACCACCGAUGGUACAUUAUAUAUGUAUGUUCACUACGCUGUCACUAGAUUAAUAAAUAUUAAUUAUUAUUAUUA